AGUCGAGCGGAAAGGCCCUUCGGGGUACUCGAGCGGCGAACGGGUGAGUAACACGAUGAGCAACCUGCCCCAGGCUUUGGGAUAACCCCGGCAAACCGGGGCUAAUACCGAAUAUGACCUCUGACCGCAUGGUUGGUGGUGGAAAGUUUUUCGGCUUGGGAUGGGCUCGCGGCCUAUCAGCUUGUUGGUGGGGUGAUGGCCUACCAAGGCGACGACGGGUAGCCGGCCUGAGAGGGCGACCGGCCACACUGGGACUGAGACACGGCCCAGACUCCUACGGGAGGCAGCAGUGGGGAAUAUUGCACAAUGGGCGGAAGCCUGAUGCAGCGACGCCGCGUGAGGGAUGACGGCCUUCGGGUUGUAAACCUCUUUCAGCAGGGACGAAUCGUAGGUGACGGUACCUGCUAAGAAGCGCCGGCCAACUACCUGCCACCAGCCGCGGUAAGACGUAGGGCGCGAGCGUUGUCCGGAUUUAUUGGGAGUAAAGAGCUCGUAGGCGGCUUGUCGCGUCGACCGUGAAAACUUGGGGCUCAACCCCAAGCCUGCGGUCGAUACGGGCAGGCUAGAGUUCGCUAGGGGAGACUGGAAUUCCUGGUGUAACGGAGAAAUGCGCAAAUAUCAGGAAGUAAACCGGUGGCGAAGGCGGGUCUCUGGACCUAUACUGACACUGAGGACGAAAGGCGUGGUUAGCGAAGAGGAUUAGAUACCCUGGUAGUCCACGCUGUAAACGUUAGGCGGUAGAUGUGGGGGGCCUCUCUUGUUCCUUGUGAUGCAACUAACGCAUUAAGCGCCUCGCCUGGGGAGUACGGCUGCAAUGCUAAAACUCAAUGGAAUUUACGGGGGCCCGCACAAACGGCGGAGCAUGCGGAUUAAUUCGAUGCAACGCGAAGAACCUUACCUGGGUUUGACAUGGCCGCAAAACUGUCAGAGAUGGCAGGUCCUUCGGGGGCGGUCACAGGUGGUGCAUGGCUGUCGUCAGCUCGUGUCGUGAGAUGUUGGGUUAAGUCCCGCAACGAGCGCAACCCUCGUUCGAUGUUGCCAGCGCGUUAUGGCGGGGACUCAUCGAAGACUGCCGGGGUCAACUCGGAGGAAGGUGGGGAUGACGUCAAGUCAUCAUGCCCCUUAUGUCCAGGGCUUCACGCAUGCUACAAUGGCCGGUACAAUGGGCUGCGAUACCGUGAGGUGGAGCGAAUCCCAAAAAACCGGUCUCAGUUCGGAUCGGGGUCUGCAACUCGACCCCGUGAAGUCGGAGUCGCUAGUAAUCGCAGAUCAGCAACGCUGCGGUGAAUACGUUCCCGGGCCUUGUACACACCU
rnacentral:rRNA from 1 species